rnacentral:rRNA from 1 species
CCAGACUCCUACGGGAGGCAGCAGUGGGGAAUAUUGCACAAUGGGGGAAACCCUGAUGCAGCGACGCCGCGUGAGUGAGGAAGUAUUUCGGUAUGUAAAGCUCUAUCAGCAGGGAAGAAAAUGACGGUACCUGACUAAGAAGCCCCGGCUAACUACGUGCCAGCAGCCGCGGUAAUACGUAGGGGGCAAGCGUUAUCCGGAUUUACUGGGUGUAAAGGGAGCGUAGACGGAAUUGCAAGUCUGAUGUGAAAAUCCGGGGCCCAACCCCGGAACUGCAUUUGAAACUGUACUUCUUGAGUGCUGGAGAGGCAAUCGGAAUUCCGUGUGUAGCGGUGAAAUGCGUAGAUAUACGGAGGAACACCAGUGGCGAAGGCGGAUUGCUGGACAGUAACUGACGCUGAGGCGCGAAAGCGUGGGGAGCAAACAGGAUUAGAUACCCUAGUA